ensembl:lncRNA
GUUUACUGCAAGCUUAAGCCUAGCUACGCUAAUAAGAGCUUCAUUUGUCUUUUUCGAUGGGUUCUUGAUGUGGUAGGUGUAUGACUGAGCGUUAGGCAUCUUUGCAUUUUAGUUGCAAACCACAACCAUGCAGUGCCUUCAGCUGAAAGUCCGUAAGUUCUGCCAUAGCUGAGGAGUCCACGAAGGAGGAGAGUGGGAGCCACGCCACUGCACAAGGACGCCCUGCAGCCAGCAAAAGGGUAUGGGGUCGUAGUGCAAGGCGCAUUAUCCAGCUGAAAAAGGCCAAAGCCAUCAGGGAAUACCAUUACAAUGCUCAGUGCAUCCUGGUGCCAUGUGUUCUCCAGGUAAGCGACACACAUGCAGCUGGCCAUCAACGUGAUAUAAAAGGAAACAGUAUUCAUCAGACCAAGCCACCAUCUUCCAUUGCUCCGUGAUUCAGUUCUGAUGUUCACGUGCCCAUUGUAGGCGUUUUCGGCAGUGAACAGGGGUCAACAUGGGCACCCUUACAGGUCUGCGGCUACACUGCCCCAUACGCAACAAAGUGCGAUACACUGUGUGUUCUGACACCUUUCUCUCAGUAACAGCAUUAACCUUUUCAGCAGUUGGAGCUACAGUAGCUUGUCUGUUGGAUUGGACCACACAUGCCAGCCUUCGCUCCCCACGUGCAUCAGUGAGCCUUGGCCGCCCAUGACCCUGUCACCGCUUUUCCUUCCUUGGACCACCUUUGUUAGGUACGGACCACUGCAGACCAGGAACACCCCUGCAAUUUUUGAGAUGCUCUGACCCAGUCGUCUAGCCAUCGCAAUUUGGCCCCUUGUCAAUGUCAUGCAGUUCCUUACGCUUGCCCAUUUUUCCUGUUUCUAACACCAAUUUUGAGGACAGAAUGUUCACUUGCUGCCUAAUAUGUCCCACCCACUGACAUGUGCCAUGAUAACACGAUUAUCAAUGUUAUUUACUUCACCUGUCAGCGGUCAUAAUGUUAUGGCUGAUCGGUGUAUAUUGAUAGUUAUUGUGUCAAUGUAAUUCGCGAAUGAAAGAAAAACAAACGUUGUUGUGCCAUGAAAUGAAAUAGCUUUUGCAGUGUAAAGUUCAUCUCCAGUCUUGCUAGCAAUUGCUCAGUGCCGUACAGUUCAUAAUUGCUGUUUGUGGUGGUGGUAAACUUAAUAAGAAAUGUAAGUCAGUUUAACACAAUGCUUUAUGGUGUCUAGCUGGCUGAACUAGGCUUUCCUGGUUCCUUUUAUGGUUUGGAAAUGGGGUUGUAUACAAUAUAACAUUGCAACAUGAAUGUAAAAGUGUUUAGAUACAUAUGCUGUUUUUAUUUUAAAUUAAAA